rnacentral:rRNA from 2 species
UACGGGGGGUGCAAGCGUUGUUCGGAAUUAUUGGGCGUAAAGAGCGUGUAGGCGGCUUGGCAAGUCAGAUGUGAAAGCCCUGGGCUUAACCCAGGAAGUGCAUUUGAAACUGCCUAGCUUGAGUAGGGGAGAGGGAAGUGGAAUUCCUGGUGUAGAGGUGAAAUUCGUAGAUAUCAGGAGGAACACCGGUGGCGAAGGCGACUUCCUGGCCCUAUACUGACGCUGAGACGCGAGAGCGUGGGUAGCAAACAGG